GAUCAAACAACCCAUCGCAAAUCACCUUUUUUUUUUCUGUUUCCAUGAAAAAGAAUACACUUUUUGCAUAUAUAAAAAAUUUAAAAAUUUAAAUUUAUAAGCUCAUAUCAUGAAACAAAUAUAUAUCGUCAACUAAUUAUUGGUUCACUGAAUUGCUGCAGAUAUAAAUUGGAACAUUUAUUGAAGUAACAAUAAGAAAGAUGAUCUCAGAAGUAACAGCUAGCAACUCCACAAACGACAUCGGAGCUUUUGAGGGAUAAAUGGUCGCUGAGUCGCCGAGUUCUGUUCGAAAAGUGAUUGUUCAAUUAAAAGCAACUGCUGAUGCUCCUAUACUUAAGCAAAACAAGUUUAAGUUUGCAUACAUGGACAGUACAUUCUCUCCAAACCCUGAUGAAUUGGUUAUUGAUCUAUUUAAUAACUUUGGCGUUGAUGGUAAACUGCUGGUCAAUUAUGCUUGCUCCAUGGCAUGGGGCUAAUUGUCACUCAGGGAUAUGAUUUACUGCACUGUUCAUAACGUAAGAAUUAAGAACCUUUUGUUAUUACUUCGGAGAUGGGUUAUUAGGAUUCCUGCUUUCUUUGUUGAUUUGAUGAGGGAUAGGAUGAAUUUGUUGUAGUAAACUCCAUCCUGUCUUUUCUUUCUUUCUCAUUGUUAAUUACAGAUUUCAUUGGGUGUUGGUUUUGUAGAUUUGUUCAUGUGAGAGUACAUGAUUUGUGGAUAGACUGAAGAUUACGAUAACCCAGAUGAAGAUUGGAAAUGGAAGAGAUUCACAUGUAUUUUAGAUCAUCAAUAUUUCGCACUGUGGGUGCUCAUUUCAUUGCCUUUAAUUCAUUCAGCGUACUGGGAUGGGGUACUUCAAUCAUUAAAUUUUAGUUCUACAGAAUUUGAGUCCACAAGACGUGUACCCUUCUAAAUUAUCUAAAGUAUAAAUAAUUGGCCUCCCAACUUUCUGAAUGCAAUUUGACGUAAAGAUGAUGUGUUGCUUUAACAUGUACUGUUUAGCUUUGGCUUUCCUUUGUGGAUUCGAGCUGUCAGUGCCUGCCAAGUAGCAAAUGUUCUCAAGACUCGGCCGCAGUUGUGCUAGUACAACCUGAAGUUGAAUCAGAUCAUUUUUGCCGCUGGUUGGAUUCGAGUCAAAAUGCAAAAUAAUAAUAAUAAUAAU
rnacentral:misc_RNA from 1 species